UACGAAGGGGGCUAGCGUUGCUCGGAAUCACUGGGCGUAAAGCGCACGUAGGCGGAUUGUUAAGUCAGGGGUGAAAUCCUGGAGCUCAACUCCAGAACUGCCUUUGAUACUGGCGAUCUCGAGUCCGGGAGAGGUGAGUGGAACUGCGAGUGUAGAGGUGAAAUUCGUAGAUAUUCGCAAGAACACCAGUGGCGACGGCGGCUCACUGGCCCGGUACUGACGCUGAGGUGCGAAAGCGUGGGGAGCAAACAGG
rnacentral:rRNA from 1 species